UAGAGUUUGAUCCUGGCUCAGGAUGAACGCUAGCUACAGGCCUAACACAUGCAAGUCGUGGGGAAACGAUUGGGGAGCUUGCUCCCCAAGGCGUCGACCGGCGCACGGGUGAGUAACGCGUAUCCAACCUGCCCAUGAGUGGGGAAUAACCCGUGGAAACGCGGCCUAAUGCCCCAUGUUGCGCGAAGCGGACAUCUAACUCGCGCCAAAGGUUCGCCGCUCAUGGAUGGGGAUGCGUCCGAUUAGGCAGCAGGCGGGGCGACGGCCCACCUGGCCGACGAUCGGUAGGGGUUCUGAGAGGAAGGCCCCCCACAUUGGGACUGAGACACGGCCCAAACUCCUACGGGAGGCAGCAGUGAGGGAUAUUGGUCAAUGGCCGUAAGGCUGAACCAGCCAAGUAGCGUGCAGGAUGACGGCCCUAUGGGUUGCAGACUGCUUUUGCGCGGGGAUAACUGGCGGCACGCGUGCCGCCUUGCAGGUACCGCGCGAAUAAGGACCGGCUAAUUCCGUGCCAGCAGCCGCGGUAAUACGGAAGGUCCCGGUGUUAUCCGGAUUCAUUGGGUUUAAAGGGAGCGCAGGCCGCCCGUCAAGCGUGUUGUGAAAUGCAGUCGCCCAACGGCUGAGCUGCAGCGCGAACUGGCGGGCUUGAGUGCGCGCAACGCCGGCGGAACUCGCCGUGUAGCGGUGAAAUGCUUAGAUAUGGCGAAGAACCCCGAUUGCGAAGGCAGCCGGCGGGCGCGCUACUGACGCUCAUGCUCGAAAGCGCGGGUAUCGAACAGGAUUAGAUACCCUGGUAGUCCGCGCGGUAAACGAUGGAUGCCCGCCCUCCGGGCGAUUGAGUUUGGGGGGCCAAGCGAAAGCGUUAAGCAUCCCACCUGGGGAGUACGCCGGCAACGGUGAAACUCAAAGGAAUUGACGGGGGCCCGCACAAGCGGAGGAACAUGUGGUUUAAUUCGAUGAUACGCGAGGAACCUUACCCGGGCUUGAAUUGCAGAAGACGGAUCCAGAGAUGGUGACUCCCUUCGGGGCUUCUGUGAAGGUGCUGCAUGGUUGUCGUCAGCUCGUGCCGU
rnacentral:rRNA from 1 species